rnacentral:lncRNA from 1 species
ACUGUUAUUUUAUUUCUGUAGCUAGUCGAAAUUUGAUUUUCAUGUCUGUACUAGCAUAGGAAGGUUUUAAAAUUAAUUUCAAUAAAGACUUUUAUUUCAUUUAUUUAUGAAAUAAAUUGGUUGCAUGAGGUCUUUUAAUUGACAGUCUAUAUCACUUACAUGUUGAUGCGAAUUAAAUUUAAAUGAGUAAAUAGUGAGUGCCGU